UUUCCCUCGUACCUUUUGCAUCAUGAUUUAGCCAGCAUACUCAAGCAAAGAGAACUUUAGUUUGACCCCCCGAAACUGCGUGAGCUACUCCAAGACAGCCUAUUAAUUAGGGCAAACCCGUCUCUGUGGCAAAAGAGUGGGGAGAGCUUUGAGUAGAGGUGAUAAACCUAUCGAACACAGUUAUAGCUGGUUGCCUGGGAACUGGAUUUAAGUUCAGCCUGUCGGCUUCUCCAUAAACCGACACAGUUAGUCAAAGGGGGUACAGCCCCUUUGAAACAGGACACAACCUUUUAAGGAGGAUAAAGAUCAAAUUCAAUAAGGAAAGAUUUUAGUGGGCCUAAGAGCAGCCAUCCUGAUGAAAAGCGUUAAAGCUUAGACAUACGAUCCCGAUAAAAACAUCUUAAUCCCCUAUAUUGUACCAGGCCAUCCUAUGCCCCCAUAGGAGUGACUAUGCUAAUAUGAGUAAUAAGAGAGCCCUCUCUCCCUGCACACGUGUAAAUCGGAACGGACCUCCCACCGAGCCUUAACGGCCCCAACUAAAGAGGGAAAUGAAACACAAAACAAGAAAACCCCCCACCGUUAACCCAACACAGGUGUGCUCCCAAGGAAAGACUAAGAGAAGGAGAAGGAACUCGGCAAACAAGCCUCGCCUGUUUACCAAAAACAUCGCCUCUUGCA
rnacentral:rRNA from 1 species